rfam:Gossypium raimondii chromosome 8, whole genome shotgun sequence.
AAUCCAUGGUGCGGGCCUCUCUGAAUCAACUUUUUAAAAUGUUCCUAAGUCUUAUAAAAACUUUCCCCUUCCAUUUGUCUAAAAACAACAAUUUCUCUUCUUAGUUG